rnacentral:rRNA from 1 species
UACAGAGGUGGCAAGCGUUGUUCGGAAUUACUGGGCGUAAAGGGCGCGUAGGCGGUUCGUUAAGUCCUGUGUGAAAUCCCCCGGCUCAACUGGGGAACUGCACAGGAAACUAGCGGGCUUGAGUUCGGGAGAGGGAAGCGGAAUUCCGGGUGUAGCGGUGAAAUGCGUAGAUAUCUGGAGGAACACCGGUGGCGAAGGCGGCAUCCUGGACCGGCAUUGACGCUGAGGCGCGAAAGCCAGGGGAGCAAACGGG